rnacentral:rRNA from 1 species
AACGAACGCUGGCGGCAGGCUUAACACAUGCAAGUCGAACGCACCUUUCGGGGUGAGUGGCAGACGGGGGAGUAAAGCGUGGGAAUCUACCCUUCUCUACGGGAUAGCUCCGGGAAACUGGAAUUAAUACCGUAUACGUCCUGAGGGAGAAAGAUUUAUCGGGGAAGGAUGAGCCCGCGUUGGAUUAGCUAGUUGGUGGGGUAAAGGCCUACCAAGGCGACGAUCCAUAGCUGGUCUAAGAGGAUGAUCAGCCACAUUGGGACUGAGACACGGCCCAAACUCCUACGGGAGGCAGCAGUGGGGAAUAUUGGACAAUGGGCGCAAGCCUGAUCCAGCCAUGCCGCGUGAGUGAUGAAGGCCCUAGGGUUGUAAAGCUCUUUCAGUGGGGACGAUAAUGACGGUACCCACAGAAGAAGCCCCGGCUAACUUCGUG